rnacentral:rRNA from 1 species
GACGAACGCUGGCGGCGUGCUUAACACAUGCAAGUCGAGCGGUAAGGCCCUUUCGGGGGUACACGAGCGGCGAACGGGUGAGUAACACGUGGGUGACCUGCCCUUAGCUCUGGGAUAAGCCUGGGAAACUGGGUCUAAUACCGGAUAUGACUCCAUGACGCAUGUUGUGGGGUGGAAAGCCUUGUGCGGCUAGGGAUGGGCCCGCGGCCUAUCAGCUUGUUGGUGGGGUGAUGGCCUACCAAGGCGACGACGGGUAGCCGGCCUGAGAGGGCGACCGGCCACACUGGGACUGAGACACGGCCCAGACUCCUACGGGAGGCAGCAGUGGGGAAUCUUGCGCAAUGGGCGAAAGCCUGACGCAGCGACGCCGCGUGAGGGAUGACGGCCUCGG